GCCGAGGUAGCCAAGCGGUCAUGUUCAGCACCCAGGAUCCGUUCUCGCAGGAGUUCAGGAGUUCAAAUCUCCUCCUCGGCACCA
rnacentral:tRNA from 1 species